GACGAACGCUGGCGGCGUGCUUAACACAUGCAAGUCGAACGAAGAGCGAUGGAAGCUUGCUUCUAUCAAUCUUAGUGGCGAACGGGUGAGUAACGCGUAAUCAACCUGCCCUUCAGAGGGGGACAACAGUUGGAAACGACUGCUAGUACCGCAUACGAUCUAAUCUCGGCAUCGAGGAUAGAUGAAAGGUGGCCUCUACAUGUAAGCUAUCACUGAAGGAGGGGAUUGCGUCUGAUUAGCUAGUUGGAGGGGUAACGGCCCACCAAGGCGAUGAUCGGUAGCCGGUCUGAGAGGAUGAACGGCCACAUUGGGACUGAGACACGGCCCAGACUCCUACGGGAGGCAGCAGUGGGGAAUCUUCCGCAAUGGACGAAAGUCUGACGGAGCAACGCCGCGUGAGUGAUGACGGCCUUCGGGUUGUAAAGCUCUGUUAAUCGGGACGAAAGGCCUUCUUGCGAAUAGUGAGAAGGAUUGACGGUACCGGAAUAGAAAGCCACGGCUAACUACGUG
rnacentral:rRNA from 1 species